rnacentral:lncRNA from 1 species
AGACACAAUAAUGGGGCUCACGAAUUUUAUUUAUUUAUCUUUUAAUACACCGACCUGCAUCUACAAUGAGGAAUCUUACAGACCUUGUAUGAAUAGUGCCAUGUACUCGAGGCAUUAUAGAAAAAGCAAUAGCUGCGAAUCACGCCGCUCCUUUAAGUCACUAUCAGUACGGGAAUUUGUUUUAAAAGGAAUCACCAUUUUCUUAUCUGCAUUGUUCUUCUUUCUUCUUCUCCUUUGGUUGUGGGUUCGUUGGGUAGAGGUCGGAUUGGAUAGGUGGGGUAGGUAAUCCUCUGAUUCCAGUAUGUUAUUUAUCAAUUUUAGUUCAUAAUCAAAAUUAUAAUCCCAUUUUUAAAUUUGCAUUUUACUGCAUGUGACAGAUAGGGCUGCUCAUUGAAGCUGACAGUUUGCGUGUUCAGUGAUGACAAUGCAAUUAAAAAUGGGAUUAUUUUAUUUCUUACUCCAAACGAAAGAGUCCUAGAUUUGAUUUUUUGGAAGUACUUGUUAACAUCUUUACUCCAUUUACUGCAAAAUUUAUUUAUUGAAUCUUCUGACAGCUUCAUUACCCAAAAACAUUGAAAAAUUUUCUCAAGAAAAUCUCUACAAAAAAUUGCCUUCACUGGAAUGUAAAUUUGGUCAGCCCAAACAUUUGAUUUGAAUUGAUAUUGGCUUUUGAAUAGCCUUUAGAAAAAAAAUUUAUCUGUCUGCGGUGAACUAGAAAAGGAUCGACAAAUUUGAUGGCUGAGAUUGGAUCAAAAAUCAAGAAGGGUCUGGUGAUUUUCAUUGGAUUGCUUCUUUUUGGUUGUGUGAUUGUUUCGGCAAAACAAAGUUCGAUAUUGGGAAAUGGAAGUUUAACAAACAAUUGGAUUACUGAAGAAUUUGGAUCAGCUUAUUUCAGUAAAAUAAUCAAUUUCUUGCAGCGAAGCAGGCACACACUUUACCAUCAUGUUUGGCCCGUGAGUUCUUUAUUUUCAUUAUAAAUGUGCUCUUAUUUUUCCCUGUAGGGCUAGAUAUUUGAAUUAUGACGGAUUUGGUAUGCUCGACUGGAAGUGGAAUCGACAAUAUUAAUGAACAUACAGUGUUGUAUUUUGGAUUACUGCAUUCUGAACAUCCCAUAAAAGAUUGAUAAAUUUUUUAUUUUAUUUUUAUUUUUUUACAGAAACUAGAAUUUGGUUGGAGAAUUGUUGUGGGUACAGUGAUUGGAUUCUUUGCUGCUGCUCUUGGGAGCGUUGGAGGUGUUGGUGGAGGUGGAAUAUUUGUCCCAAUGCUCACUCUAAUAGUAGGAUUUGAUCCAAAGUCGUCAACUGCAAUAUCGAAAUGUAAGAGUUAACAAUUUGUAUUGACAUCAGAUACAACCCACUUUCUUUUACACACACACCAAUUCCAACUGAUCAUUGCAUCUAAAUAGCCCUCAUUAAUCUCUGAAGAAGAAUCAAAUUCAAGUUCUUAAAAAAUUGAUUCCUAUAGAACAGUGCCUAGUCAUCGAAUUCUCAAUCAUGCGACUCAACUUUGACGCAUUUAGCUUUCCUAGGACCUAGAAAUUUGGCAUAUUUUUAUGCAGAGUUCUGAAUUAAAACUACCUAGAGGUAGAGGGCAUAUAGAUUCAGAUAGUCAUUGCUAAGUAGUUCUUGUUGGCUACUUGGCUCAGAUUUAGAUAACUAAAAUGUUCGACCUGGUCUCUGAUUUUAAUUUCCACCAUGGGCUUAGUUUCAUGGAAUUCAAAAGUCAACAGUAUUUGUAUUCAUUUUCUACUUUAGGGGCGAAGCUUUAGGAAAAGAAACUGAUUCAUUUGAAGACAAACACUUUUCACAAAUUACAGAACUGUAUUCUGAUCCUUUUGAUAAUUGGACUGUAUUUGAGCCCUUUUGUUUACUGUCCAGGUAUGAUUACCGGUGCAGCAGGUGCUGCUGUAUAUUACAAUAUCAAGCUCCGGCAUCCUACACUUGAUCUUCCUAUCAUCGAUUAUGAUCUAGCUCUUCUUUUUCAGCCAAUGCUAGUGCUCGGGGUCAGCGUUGGAGUUAUUUUUAACGUGAUUUUUGCAGACUGGAUGGUUACAGUUUUGUUGAUUAUUCUUUUCAUAGGUGAUGUCCAAUUUACUUACAUUUUUCAGUUGCAUUUUUUAGGUAACUUAUCAUUGUCUUAACUACAGGCAUGUCAACUAAGGCAUUCUUUAAGGGUGUUGAAACAUGGAAGAAAGAAUCCAUUAUGAAAAGGGUAGCCUAAAAUCUAAACUUUUUCACUUGUUCCGAUAUGCUAGUUGAUCUUUUGAUUUAAAAAAUCUAUUCUUUCUGUCUCUUAAUUCGGUAUGCAGGAGGCUUCUAGACGCUUGUCAUCUGAUUGUGAGUAUGCACUACUUUUCAAUCUUGAGAAAUAUUUUGUAAAAAAUUUUAGUUAGCCAGAUUCGAGUAAAGACCGAAUUGAAAUCAGAUAAUAGAAGUGAAGAAGUGCAAUACAAACUUGUACCUGGAGUCCCAACUAAUGGAACUGGAGUACGUCUCAAUGAUUAUAAAGCAUCGGAGGUAACUAUCUUCUAAUACCUGAAUAGCAUGUUAGGUAGGGAGGAUUGUACCACUCUUGAAAAACAUUAAGAAAGAGAAGAAGUUAAUAUCUUGUUCGUUAUACCAUUGAGUCUUGUCCUCUACUAUGUACCAGACAUGCACAAACAGUUACAGAUUCGUGAAUUAAUUUCCAAACCGACGCUGAUUUCCACAAGUCUUGCAGGUCUCGGUUAUUGACAAUGUCUAUUGGAAGGAACUCACCAUACUCAUUGCCGUCUGGGCCAUAAUCCUUUUACUUCAUAUCGGCAAGGUUUUCAUAUAUUAUACUCUUGAAAAUCCUCUCUUAAGGCCUUUUUUUCCACUUCAAGUUUUUACUCUUUUAUGAGUUAUUAUUGAGAAGACUAGCGCAUCUUUAAUACAGGAUUAUACAACAACUUGUUCAGUAGCAUAUUGGACUCUGACCUUGUUGCAGGUACUACUUAUGCCGAACUGUGAAAAAAUAUAUCCAAGCCCUGGAUCACUACCCUACAUUUUUAUUUUUUUUUGUCUUAGAGCAAGAUAAACAUAUAUAACGACAUUUAUAUUUCUGUUGAUUCUCAGAUCCCUGUAGCAAUUGGAGCAUCUGGUUAUGAGGCAGUUGGUUUAUAUAAGGGUUGGAGGGUUAUAGCUUCAAGGGGAGAAGCACGAAAAAAUUGGACAGUGCAACAGUUGAUUCUCUGUUGUUGCAGUGGAAUUUUGGCUGGUGUGGUUGGUGGGCUGCUAGGCCUUGGUGGAGGAUUCAUAUUAGGGCCAUUAUUUCUAGAGCUUGGAGUUCCUCCACAGGUACUUUGUAAUCGUCUUGAAUCAAUGUUGGCAUGUUUUGUGUGGAUGAUUAAAUGCCACUGCACAAUAUUAAUGAAGAAUAUAAGUCUUAAGAUUAUUUAUGUACCAAACAUGCACAUUGAUUUGUUACAGUUUGUAACUUCUCUGGUGAUCGAGUAAAUGAUAAAAGAAACAGUGAUCAUGAAUUUCACAAGAGAGAGAAAAAAAAUAAAAAAAAAAUGUCUCCCAAUGGAUCGUUAACUGGUAUACUCAUGCCCAUUCCCUCCAUAACCCGAAUGCUCAGAGCAGCCUUCUCAACUCCUUACAAGUUCAUUUUUCUAGUUUACCCUGAAAUAUUCCCUCCAGUGUUUAGCUGCUUAUGAAAUAACAUUAGACAUACUUGCAUGUUCUAAAAUUCUUGUCCUAAAACUUGUAAUUAACCAUCUCCUGCCCCGUACAAUAGUUCACAAUCUUUAGUUAAAAACUUCUGAUGCAGGUCUCAAGUGCCACAGCCACAUUUGCCAUGGUAUUUUCUUCAUCCAUGUCUGUAGUACAAUACUAUCUUUUGAAACGCUUUCCAGUAUCAUACGGUAAGUUAUCCAGCCAACUUCUAUUCAACAUAUGGUUAGUUGUUGUGCAUACUUCUUGAUUUGAAAAGUAAAAGAUUGUUAUUUCAUUAGGCAUAUAUUAGAUCAUUGCUCAACUAACUGUUUCUCUCACUUGCAGCUCUUUAUUUUGUUGCUGUGGCUACCGUUGCUGCAUUGGUAGGGCAGCACGUAGUAAGAAAGAUGAUUAGUAUAUUCAGACGAGCAUCCUUAAUCAUCUUUAUUUUGGCAUUCACCAUUUUUGCAAGUGCAAUUUCACUAGGCAAGUAUUGUUGAACUCUACAUCAAUAAUUUCCUGCACGUUUUCAAGAUUUAAAUGAGACAUUCUAUGUCAUCUUGUUAAAUUUUUUUCACCUCGCUUUGUUAAAAAAUUGUUGUUGCAUCAUUCUUGACAGGUGGGGUUGGUAUAUCGCACAUUAUCGGGAAGGUGGAUGGAAAAGAAAACAUUUGGUUUUAUAACAUCUGUGAAUAAGAGCCGUAGGGUUUGAAGCAUUUGUGUAUGUACAAUUUUCUUUAGUAACAACUAUACUUAUUCUUCUUUCAAUGAUGUAAAUGUGUAAUAAUCCCAAGAAUUGAGAUGUUACCUUAUAAUCUGAUAUGGAAGAUCACAUUUUCUCUAUUCAAGGGUUGCUUCCAAUAUCUAAUAGGACACAAAGCUCACAAGUUGGGUCAGGAUUAACCAGGUAAAUAAUAAAAGAUUCAUAUAGUUGACGCAAAAGUCUAGAGCCCC